UACGUAGGGUGCAAGCGUUAAUCGGAAUUACUGGGCGUAAAGCGUGCGCAGGCGGUGAUGUAAGACAGAUGUGAAAUCCCCGGGCUCAACCUGGGAACUGCAUUUGUGACUGCAUCGCUGGAGUGCGGCAGAGGGGGAUGGAAUUCCGCGUGUAGCAGUGAAAUGCGUAGAUAUGCGGAGGAACACCGAUGGCGAAGGCAAUCCCCUGGGCCUGUACUGACGCUCAUGCACGAAAGCGUGGGGAGCAAACAGG
rnacentral:rRNA from 1 species